GCCUACCAUGGUGGUAACGGGUAACGGGGUGUUAGGGCACGACACCGGAGAGGGAGCCUGAGAAACGGCUACCACAUCCAAGGAUGGCAGCAGGCGCGCAAAUUACCCAAUCCCGACACGGGGAGGUAGUGACAAUAAAUAACAAUACGGGGUUCUUUCGGAUCUCGUAAUUGGAAUGAGUACAAUUUAAAUCUCUUAACGAGGAACAAUUGGAGGGCAAGUCUGGUGCCAGCAGCCGCGGUAAUUCCAGCUCCAAUAGCGUAUAUUAAAGUUGUUGCAGUUAAAAAGCUCGUAGUUGAAUUUCGGGGUUAGUAGGUUGGUCAUGCCUCUGGUAUGUACUGGUCUCACUGAUUCCUCCUUCCUUAUGAACCGUAAUGCCAUUAAUUUGGUGUUGCGGGGAAUUUGGACUGUUACUUUGAAAAAAUUAGAGUGUUUAAAGCAAGCUAACGCUUGAAUACAUUAGCAUGGAAUAAUGAAAUAGGACGUUCGAUCUUAUCUUGUUGGUUUCUAGGAUUGACGUAAUGAUUAAUAGGGAUAGUUGGGGGCAUUAGUAUUCAAUUGUCAGAGGUGAAACUCUUGGAUUUAUUGAAGACUAACUACUGCGAAAGCAUUUGCCAAGGAUGUUUUCAUUAAUCAAGAACGAAAGUUAGGGGAUCGAAGACGAUCAGAUACCGUCGUAGUCUUAACCAUAAACUAUGCCGACUAGGGAUCGGAUGAUGU
rnacentral:rRNA from 1 species